rnacentral:rRNA from 1 species
AGUAGGGAAUCUUCCACAAUGGGCGCAAGCCUGAUGGAGCAACGCCGCGUGAGUGAAGACGGCCUUCGGGUUGUAAAGCUCUGUCUGUCGGGACGAGGACCGCGCCGNNCGGCGCGGGGGGACGGUACCGGCGGAGGAAGCCCCUGCAAACUACGUGCCAGCAGCCGCGGUAAGACGUAGGGGGCAAGCGUUGUCCGGAAUUACUGGGCGUAAAGGGCGUGUAGGCGGUUGCGCACGUAGCGGUUUUCAGCCGUCGGCUCACCCGACGGAGGGCGGCUAAACGGCGCAGCUCGAGGGCAGGAGAGGUGCAUGGAAUUCCUGGUGGAGCGGUGAAAUGCGUAGAGAUCAGGAAGAACACCGGUGGCGAAGGCGGUGCACUGGCCUGGCCCUGACGCUGAGGCGCGACAGCGUGGGGAGCGAACGGGAUUAGAUACCCCGGUAGUCCACGCCGUAAACGAUGGAUACGAGGUGUCGCGGGGGUCCACCUCGCGGUGCCGGAGCUAACGCACUCAGUAUCCCGCCUGGGGAGUACGGCCGCAAGGUUGAAACUCA